ensembl:lncRNA
UUGCACGCCAUAUCUUUGCAGAGGUGUGCACACGUAUAAGUGGGCAUCAGGAGAAUCUCUUCACCGGCUGAGGAGGUUAAGCCUCCUUAUCGGCCUUCGCUGCGUGUCGGUUCAGUUUUAGAUCGAGCCGACGUGAACCUCCACUCCUCCGCCUGGCCGCUGCUCGGAUCUCCAACCACCACUUUUUAUGGAGGUUUUAUCUUCCAGCUUUGCCUCCGCGAGCGCCACAACUGCAGAGGAUAACUGAUUUAUUGUGGACACCUUUUAAAGUGCGAGGGGUCUUUUUCAAGCUGUAAAAAUCGAUCCGAUUGGACAAUCGCAAUGUGCAGAGAGAGAUAAUUGGUUGGGAAAACAGGAAGGUUCCAUCUAAGAAUGUUUGCAUUCAGUUCAGCCUCCUCGUAAAGUGAUGCUUGUGCCUUGAGAGCGCCGUUCGCACGCGGUGUUUCCCGCGGCCUCAAAUCCGCUGCACAGAGAACGUCGAGGUGACCUGGUGAAACAACGUGACGGGAAUCACGGGACAAACAACAUCAGCUUGUAGAUCGCUAACGAUCCCCGACUUUGUUUAGUGAAGUCAGUGAGGCUUACGGCUAAAUUAUGGCAACUUUGCCAUCAUCGUUGUCAUUAUUGUGCGCAGUUUUUGGUUAGCUUAUUACACGGCUGCUGUGCCAUUGAGCUACAUACAUGUAUUAUGUUACAUAUGCUCAAAUGAUGCAGAAUGAUAGCAGAGACCAACCGAAAGAUGAUAAUCCAGUGUCGACUCAUCAGAUACUAGCGCUUGGUCAGUGGCCCCCUGGAGCACCCCUCGGUGCACAAAGCUUUCAAACAACUCCGACGCAAGCCCAUCCGUCACUGUGAGACGGUCAAAGCGUCCGUCAUUUAUUGAUACUUUCUCAUAGUUUUCUCACAUGACUUAAUGUACUUGAUGUCAGUGAUAUAACAAACAAACCCGUUUCACACAGCAAACUUGACUUAUUUAAACUAAAACUGAGUAAAUCUCCUUGUAUCAGGAUACUAACGCGCCCUGACACGUUGAAAACGGUGACUACAGCGUAGUUUGAAGAGUCAGCUGUUUUUCUGUCAUUUCGAAGAAUUUUCUUCCUGGUUCUUGAGCAAAUACAAUCUAACCUAGUGUUGUGUUUGCAUCCCGUCCAGCACAAAGUAGCAGACAAGGUUAGUGACUUUUAUAUUGAAUAUUACUGAAUCAAUAAAUGCAGCUUUCUAGAUGAAAAUUCAAAGGUCUUUGUUUACGUGAAAUCCCUGUUUGUUGCAUUUGUGGCUGCAAUGUUUUUGUGAUAAUUGUAAUUAACUCUCUACUUUUCAUUGCUGUUGGUGGAGUUCUUUUCCUGGCGGGGUUCAAAUUGUGUAGGCAGCGUAUACGCAUCAUUUCCUGUGAAUCUUCUGCAGCUUUACACAUUUUUAAUCUCCUCUGGGACCGGAGGUGCAGAAUAUCAACGCGGUUGGAUGCAUGUCAUGUAAUCGAGGAACACAUCCAAACGUCAGGAACUUUAUCCUGGUGAACUGUGGUUGCAGCCUGGUGUCAACAACUGCAUUGUCCUGCAUUGUUUGAGACGAUAAUGUGUGUGACCAUUUCUGCUUCUGGUUUUCGUAGGUCUGUUAACGGAGGAGGCUGAGGAUGUGUGAGAGUAUCAGACUCCCUGAUAACUUAGUUUGGUUUUGCUUUUAUGUUUUGAUUUCCUUGCAAUGGCUGAUGGGACAAAGCUAAAUGGGGAACAAAAAUAACAGCAACCAAUUACAGUAGGUGUCACCUCAUUGUAAAGCCUGACAUGUGUUCGUUCAGUGCAGAGAGAGCGGCGGCAGUGCGGCCACGCGGCCCAGCAGCAGGCGGCGGCGGCGGGGAUGCAGCGGGGCGCCGGACGCCCACCCGCUGCACGCUGGCUUUCUCUCCGAGCACCUCGCCACAGCUGUGUGCUCCGCCGCGCCACAUCAAGGGGAGGCCGGGGUUAUUGCCACUAAGUUUAUGUGUCAAGGCAGAGUCAAUUAUACCUCAGACUGGGGAGAGGAAAACAGAGGGAGAGCGCACGCGGUAAACCUUCCUGCCCCGAGGCUGCGCGAGUGAAGGUUUCUCGUGGCUCCUUUUCUCUCCUUGUUUUUGUUUUUUUCAAAGCAAAGGUUCAUGGUUCUGUGCAAAUGUGCUGUUUACUCCACAGGUAGGAGGGGAUGGGGGGGCCGCAGCCCCUACCAGGGGGGCCAGAUCGUGGGGGCAUCUAGCCGGCAGGCGCCACUGAGGACGAAGGUGUGCUGUGAGCCCGCUCGUUAAACGGCCCCGUGCCGACCGUAAUGAUGUCCGCCGGCACCCUCCCUCUCUCUUGCUCCGCUAUCUCUCCCCUUGCUUCCCUCCAGCCUUCCUCCUCCUCCUCCUCCACCUCCUCCUCCUCCUCUCUUUUCAGGCCAUCUGCCUCUCCUUGUACUCUGUUUUGGUUGAGGAAGCCAAACCCGUCUGGUGGCGGGGGAGAGAGGCUCUGUCACACUCUCCUUCUAAUGAGCAGUCGCUCCGCGUGCCGCCAGCUCCAACUGAGCCAAAAUGGCCGACACAUUUCACACUGCUGGGCCCUUGAUCUGUCAGGUUUGUGAGUGGCUGACUCGACGGCCUCACUACGGAAUGAUAUUGGGGCGACGGGGGGGGGGCAAGAACAAAAAAACAAAGAAGGGAAGAAGUGAUGUAACACGCUGCCUUUGGCGAGAAAUCGGCCUGGCUUGUUUUCUCUGUGUUGCACAGAAGUGGGGCAGUAAUGUGGUGCAGGUGGUGCUGGUGUCCCGAGGAGUUUAAAGUACAUGCGUUGUGUGCGAAGGAGUAAAUAUUAAUUUCGCCGCAUGGAAGAUAUCCAAUGUGGGGGCUUUACCAUUUGUCUGGUGAAUGAUUAACGUUCGUGCCCUUGAUCGCUCCCUUACCAGAAGUGCCCUUCAGGCGGGGGCAGUUUGUAUGUCUCCUGGGGCAUAUUUGUCCUACGGGUCGAUGAUCGAUUUAGAACGGGGGGCACCCAUGGUCAGCAACCCCGAGCCCAAACAAACCACCCUCCUCCCGACUCGCUGUGCAGGCUUCUGGUUAACGAUGGAUAACAAUCUCACCAGGAAUCAUUUCCCAACAUCGUUCUGGCAUUUGUUUCAUUUCCGAUGUAUUUCUGAUCCCGGCAACCGACAGGACAAGUCACGUCCUCCUUCAGACACCAUCCGAGGAAUUAAAGGAAGAAAAGUGUGUGUGUGUGUGUGUGUGUGUGUGUGUGCGUGCGUGCGUGCGUGCGUGCGUGCGUGCGUGCGUGCGUGCGUGCGUGCGUGCGUGCGUGCGUGCGUGCGUGCGUGCGCGCGCGCGCGUGAUGGAUUGUCAGUCUAAACUAAAAGUUUUCUGUGUUUGAUGGCGUAAAUGUCUGCAUGUGACACCGCACACUAUACUUAAAUAUACUAUAAAUUUAGAAGUGACGCAUGCGAACAUUCCCGUGUGUGUUUGUAUUCUUGUGGAAGCAGAGAGCCGAGCUGCGAGGAUUUGGUUGUAGCUUUGUGUGUCGUCCAUCGAUGUCUUGGGUAUUUCUGCGAAUGAGAAAGGAAUAUCUGUCUCUCCAUCAUGUGUGUACGAGGUGUGCAUGAUGGUGUGUGUGUGUGUGUGUGUGUGUGUGUGUGUGUGUGUGCGCGUGUUUGUGUCAGCUAACUAAUUGGCAUCGGUUCAUCCCAGUCAAAGCAACAGAAGAGCUGACGCCUCGUCCACACAAAACGUUUCCUCAGCACGAUAACCCGCGCUGACAAGUAUUCUUCUGUUCCUUGAGGACCGGCACUGUGCAGCGCUUUCCCCGCUGAUUGGCUCGAGUGGGAUUUGCAUAAUGCGUGGGCAUGAAUAACGCUGAACAAUAACCCAUUCAAUAGCAAUGGGCAGUUGGACAUCUACGGCAACAAAACAGCGGAUAAACAGCAACGCCGGGGAACAAAAGUCACUCUCAGCCACAGGCGAACGUCUUGAUCGUCCCGUUGGCCUACAUUCGCUCUCCAGCGUUACUCUCCUCACACUUAUCUCCAAGUCGGCCCCUUAAUCUCCGCCAUUAUGCAUCUUGCAUUGAACGGUCCGCCGAAAUUAAAGAUGACAUCGUUUGUGUCCCGGCAGAAAUGACUCGGACGCCCCCGAUGCUAUUUUUUACCCCUCGAGACGCGUUGAGCGAGAGGUCUAAUUUAUUGAUUGGGGCUGCGUCUCUGCGGCGCCGCGCUCGAGGGGCCGAGGAGGAUUAUGCAGCAGCGCCGCGAUGUUGUUGACACUCCCGUCGCCUUUACAGCUCCGACAUGCCAACACUUGGGUGGGUGCCCGACCCUGAGUGUGUCUAAAUGUGUGUAGUGAGGAGGGGCCCGGGGGGGCGAAGAGGUCAAUGGAGGAGUUUUUGGCUGUGAGAUAGUGAGGGGAUAGUGUGUGUGUGUGUGUGUGUCAUGAGGGGUAGUGGAGGGGAG